rnacentral:rRNA from 1 species
UACGUAGGCAGCGAGCGUUGUUCGGAGUUACUGGGCGUAAAGGGUGCGUAGGCGGUUCGUUAAGUCUGUCGUGAAAUCCCCGGGCUCAACCUGGGAAUGGCGAUGGAUACUGGCGAGCUAGAGUGUGUCAGAGGAUGGUGGAAUUCCCGGUGUAGCGGUGAAAUGCGUAGAGAUCGGGAGGAACAUCAGUGGCGAAGGCGGCCAUCUGGGACAACACUGACGCUGAAGCACGAAAGCGUGGGGAGCAAACAGG